UACGAAGGGGGCUAGCGUUGCUCGGAAUCACUGGGCGUAAAGGGUGCGUAGGCGGGUCUUUAAGUCAGGGGGGAAAUCCUGGAGCUCAACUCCAGAACUGCCUUUGAUACUGAAGAUCUUGAGUUCGGGAGAGGUGAGUGGAACUGCGAGUGUAGAGGUGAAAUUCGUAGAUAUUCGCAAGAACACCAGUGGCGAAGGCGGCUCACUGGCCCGAUACUGACGCUGAGGAGCGAAAGCGUGGGGAGCGAACAGG
rnacentral:rRNA from 1 species